AAAGCUUUUGUGGUUUUGGAUGGACUCGCGGCCUAUCAGCUUGUUGGUGGGGUAAUGGCCUACCAAGGCGACGACGGGUAGCCGGCCUGAGAGGGUGACCGGCCACACUGGGACUGAGACACGGCCCAGACUCCUACGGGAGGCAGCAGUGGGGAAUAUUGCACAAUGGGCGCAAGCCUGAUGCAGCGACGCCGCGUGAGGGAUGAAGGCCUUCGGGUUGUAAACCUCUUUCAGUAGGGAAGAAGCCUGUCCUUUUGGGUGGGUGACGGUACCUGCAGAAGAAGCGCCGGCUAACUACGUGCCAGCAGCCGCGGUAAUACGUAGGGCGCAAGCGUUAUCCGGAAUUAUUGGGCGUAAAGAGCUCGUAGGCGGUUUGUCGCGUCUGCCGUGAAAGUCCGGGGCUUAACUCCGGAUCUGCGGUGGGUACGGGCAGACUAGAGUGCAGUAGGGGAGACUGGAAUUCCUGGUGUAGCGGUGAAAUGCGCAGAUAUCAGGAGGAACACCGAUGGCGAAGGCAGGUCUCUGGGCUGUAACUGACGCUGAGGAGCGAAAGCAUGGGGAGCGAACAGGAUUAGAUACCCUGGUAGUCCAUGCCGUAAACGUUGGGCACUAGGUGUGGGGGACAUUCCACGUUUUCCGCGCCGUAGCUAACGCAUUAAGUGCCCCGCCUGGGGAGUACGGCCGCAAGGCUAAAACUCAAAGGAAUUGACGGGGGCCCGCACAAGCGGCGGAGCAUGCGGAUUAAUUCGAUGCAACGCGAAGAACCUUACCAAGGCUUGACAUGAACCGGAAUGAUGCAGAGAUGUGUCAGCCACUUGUGGCCGGUUUACAGGUGGUGCAUGGUUGUCGUCAGCUCGUGUCGUGAGAUGUUGGGUUAAGUCCCGCAACGAGCGCAACCCUCGUUCCAUGUUGCCAGCGGGUUAUGCCGGGGACUCAUGGGAGACUGCCGGGGUCAACUCGGAGGAAGGUGGGGACGACGUCAAAUCAUCAUGCCCCUUAUGUCUUGGGCUUCACGCAUGCUACAAUGGCCGGUACAAAGGGUUGCGAUACUGUGAGGUGGAGCUAAUCCCAAAAAGCCGGUCUCAGUUCGGAUUGAGGUCUGCAACUCGACCUCAUGAAGUUGGAGUCGCUAGUAAUCGCAGAUCAGCAACGCUGCGGUGAAUACGUUCCCGGGCCUUGUACACA
rnacentral:rRNA from 1 species